rnacentral:rRNA from 1 species
UUAAGUGGAUCUCUUCGGAUUGAAACUUAUUUGACUGAGCGGCGGACGGGUGAGUAACGCGUGGGUAACCUGCCUCAUACAGGGGGAUAACAGUUAGAAAUGGCUGCUAAUACCGCAUAAGCGCACAGGACCGCAUGGUCUGGUGUGAAAAACUCCGGUGGUAUGAGAUGGACCCGCGUCUGAUUAGCUAGUUGGAGGGGUAACGGCCCACCAAGGCGACGAUCAGUAGCCGGCCUGAGAGGGUGAACGGCCACAUUGGGACUGAGACACGGCCCAGACUCCUACGGGAGGCAGCAGUGGGGAAUAUUGCACAAUGGGGGAAACCCUGAUGCAGCGACCCCCCGUGAAGGAAGAAGUAUCUCCGUAUGUAAACUUCUAUCAGCAGGGAAGAAAAUGACGGUACCUGACUAAGAAGCCCCGGCUAACUACGUGCCAGCAGCCGCGGUAAUACGUAGGGGGCAAGCGUUAUCCGGAUUUACUGGGUGUAAAGGGAGCGUAGACGGAAGAGCAAGUCUGAUGUGAAAGGCUGGGGCUUAACCCCAGGACUGCAUUGGAAACUGUUUUU